UACGAAGGGGGCUAGCGUUGCUCGGAAUCACUGGGCGUAAAGCGCACGUAGGCGGAUUGCUAAGUCAGGGGUGAAAUCCUGGAGCUCAACUCCAGAACUGCCUUUGAUACUGGCGAUCUUGAGUCCGGGAGAGGUGAGUGGAACUGCGAGUGUAGAGGUGAAAUUCGUAGAUAUUCGCAAGAACACCAGUGGCGAAGGCGGCUCACUGGCCCGAUACUGACGCUGAGGCACGGAAAGCGUG
rnacentral:rRNA from 1 species